rnacentral:lncRNA from 1 species
UGGGGCGGGGUAUUUAACUGGGUCGGGGGGGUAAUUAGGAUCCCUGGGUGUUAACUUGGUAGAUUAAUGCCCCCCCAGCCCCCCCGGAAGAGGAAGAGGAAGAAGAGGAAGAAGGCCUUGACCACGCCCCCAUGGACCAGGAGCCUUGGCCACGCCCACAGGAGCUACUGGAUAGGUGAGACCCAUAGAGACCCAUUGUGCCCCAUAGAGACCCCAUAGUGCCCCUUUGUGCCCCAUAGAGACCCCAUAGUGCCCCUUUGUGCCCCAUAGAGACCCCAUUGUGCCCCAUAGCACCCCAUAGAGACCCCAUUGUGCCUUAUUGUGCCCUAUAGAGACCCCAUUGUGCCCCAUAGCACCCCGUAGAGACCCCAUAGAACCCCAUUGUGCCCCAUAGCGCCCCAUAGAGACCCCAUAGUGCCCCAUAGCACCCCAUAGAGACCCCAUAGAGACCCCAUAGUGCCCCUUUGUGCCCCAUAGAGACCCCAUUAUGCCCCAUAGCACCCCAUAGAGACCCCAUAGAACCCCAUUGUGCCUUAUUGUGCCCUAUAGAGACCCCAUUGUGCCCCAUAGCACCCUGUAGAGACCCCAUUGAACCCCAUUGUGAUAUAUUGUGCCCCAUAGAGACCCCAUAGAACCCCAUUGUGCCCCAUAGAGACCCCAUAGAGACCCAUUGUGCCCCAUAGAGACCCCAUAGAGACCCCAUAGUGCCUCAUAGAGACCCCAUAGAUACCCCAUUGUGCCCCAUAGUGCCCCAUAGAGACCCCAUUGUGCCCCAUAGUGCCCCAUAGAGACCCCGUAGAAUAUGGGGGGGGGAUGGGUGUUUAAUAUGGGGGGGGCUCUAUUGUUGAGGAGUCA